GGGGAGGGGCGGCAUCCCCGGAGGACGGCGCGGAGAGGAAGCGAGGCGGAGCUCCGGGCGGACCGCGGCCGUCCCUCCGUGUCUCCGUCCGUCGGGCCGGCUCAGCUCGCUGCGGAGGGCACGUGCUUCCCUCGCACUUCGGUACUCCCCUCUCCCAUCUGGCUGGAUUUCGUUGGAUUUAGUAAACUACCGUUCCUCCUCACAUCGCUGCCGACAGAUAUAUGGAGAGGUUGGUUUGCCAUAAGAGGCCCAAGUGAGGGACCCUCCCUUAACACCUCAACACAAACUUUCUACCCAUAAUGAGAGUGAUUUAAUUUAUUGGUGUUGUGUUGAAAUAAAGCAUUUUAAUUAUCUUAAAUAUCCAUGUGGAAAAACCUCAUCGACACAAAGAACUCACUCUGAAGAUGCACUGUUCGCGG
ensembl:lncRNA